rnacentral:ncRNA from 2 species
AUACUAUCCUCGCGAGCUGGUGCCAUUUUAGAUGUAUAGAUGGCCGAAAAGGGAAUCUGGUGCAAAUCCAGAACUGACGCGCAGCGGUAAAAGAGAACGAGUAUUUGUCAAACACUGCACAUAGGUUUGUGUGGGAAGUUAAAUAUAAGGUGGCCUAUUGGCUGUGCUCUUAAGUCCGAAUACCUGCCAGCAGCUGAGUCAUAUC